ACCACAGACGGAACAGCUCAAAAAAAAAAAAAAAAAAUCACAGACGGAAUCCAUCUUCUUCACCCCGAAAUUCCCUAUCCCCCAAACAGCAGAGCGGCGAUGCCUUCCGCCACCGAGGGCCGCCGCCGCCGCCUAAACCGAGUGGGCAUCCGCGCCAACCCGCGUCCGCACGCGUCGCGCUUCCACGCGUAGGUAGCCCCGAUCAGUGGAACAGGCACCGCCGCGUCUGAUCCAUCCCUUCGCGCGCCGCCGGGCAGAGAAGCCAAAAGAGAACCGCAGCCGUCUCUGUCUUCUUAGUGAUGGCUUUCCCCCAACAGGUUCAGGGUUUGAAUUGCCAUGCCCGGCCGGGGGAAACUGAACCUGAGCUUGAAGACCCGUGUCACUUCGUACAGGAAUUCCUCUUGUGAUGAUUUUAGUUGAAAUCUACUUUGUUGCGCAAUAUUAUGUCAAACAGUUAUCUUACGUUUAUCUGCUUGCAUUAUUGCAGGAAUCCAUGAUAUACUCAGUCUAGCUGGUUGUUUCAUGGCAAAGCAUGAUGCACUAUAUGAGAAUGAAGCGCAUUGAUUUCUUCGUUCUCUGGUCUUCUAAGUUUCCACCAUACAUAGUCCUGGCAGUGUCGGCGACUCCGGCAGCCGCUCCUCCGUCCGUGGCGGCGGGUGGCUCUCGGGAUCUGGCGGCUCGGUGGCGGCGGGCUUCGGUGCUGGAGGGGCUGCUGGUGGUGGUCUCGGCGGGGGCCCUGGACGCCGGAGCGGCGGCUCCGGAUGGUGGCAGCGGUGCCGUCUUCUUCGCGGCGAGCGGUGGCCCGUGGCCCUGGCCGUGUGGGCGGCAGGGUGGCGGUGAGAUCUAGUUUUAUCAAAGAACUAAAGUUUCUUCUCAAAAUAUCUAGAAGAUGGAGAAAGGUCUGUCCAAAUAUAUACGAUUCAGUAAAAUUUUCUUCAUCUUGAACGAAAUUUAAAUAACACGUUUCAGAGCUGA